rnacentral:lncRNA from 1 species
AAGUGUAAAGAAUGAAACUUUCCAACACACUGGCAACUCCUCUUAUCUUAACAUGAUAAGGCGUUCAUGUCAAGAAAUCCUCUUUUACGGAAGAGUCCUUUUUUACGAGUCUCUUCUCCAGUUGGCAAAAUUCCUUGCUCUUGUUAGGCUUCUUCAAUCAAGGAGACUACAAUCCCUCCCAUGCUAGAAAAUAUUACAUGGUGGUGAUUUCCAAACAAGUGUAGAGGCACUGACAGCUGUGGAAUCAACUUGCACAAGGAAUAGGAAAGAAAAAGCCCAACACUGCGAAUAAAAGCGAGUAGACCUAAGACUCUGAUUUGACCCUGGCACCACGUCGAAAGCAGCGGAUGACGUUUGUAAACACUUCAUAUCAGCUGGCGACUCCGAGGCAUCCCAACGCCACGUUCCGUCCUCUUAUCUCUGGCAGUAAACGUCAGCCUUCAGCUGUGUGAGCAUCUUCUUCGCCCCUAUAUUUAGAUCAGCCAGUGAGACACAAUGCGUCAGCUCAAGGGAAAGCCAAAGGAAUCGGCAAAGGAGAAGCGUGAGAGGAAGAAGGAGUUUAUGGAGAACAAAGACAAGGCCUUCACCGUCGCUCUUCCUAUCCUAGGAGGACUCUUCCUCCUCCUGGCCAUCUUCGUGUACAUCAAGACACGGCCGAGGGUAGAAGAGCUGUAAGGAGGCCAUGUCUCUCCGCAGGUGCUCAGUCCUGCUGAUGCCCCAGUCCAUAUCAGGAAGUUUGCUGAGAGGCUUCCAGUCUUAGAGAAUGUGCAAAUAUCUGUUUUAAGAGAGUUUGCUUUUUUCUUCUUUUUUUGUGUAUGUGCAGGAUCAUUGGUAUUACAUAAUUUCAUCAGAUGACAGAAGUGGAAUGAUUUUAAAAACAUACAAAUUGAGUACCUUGGGAAAUUAUAUGUAAAACCAUAGAAGUAUACUGUAUUUGAUAGAGGUGACAUAGGCCUUAGUGGUUGAUCAUAAAUAUAGUCUACAUUUUUGAAUGUAAUUUUUAUCUGCUCUGAUAUAUAAGCUAACUACAUCAGGAAUAUGCACAUGAUGUAAAUGUUUUAAUUCUAUUUAUUCAUCAAGGAGAUAUGAUGAAAGUAUGCCAUAGAUUCUUUAUAUUUAUAUAUAGAACCAAUGAAAGUAAAUAUGUAUAACAGAUGUACAGUAUACUGUGAUAUUGCUAGGAACAAUGUGCCUUAUGUCCUCUAACCUGAAGGAAUUUAUUGGUUUAUUUUUGACGUGUAGGUAAUCUGAAGGUUCUCAGGAGUGGUCAUGUGUGAUUUUUAUUAUUGGUUUUUGAACAGCCUUCUUUCUAUUAGCACCAUUAUUGAAAAUUCCAAUAGAAGCUUCAAGAUGUGUCUGAAUCUAUGUAUUAUUACAUACAUGUGAAUAUAUAUGUAUAUGAUUAGAUUGUGUAGACCAUCGUUGCAAAGGUUUCAGAUCUAAAUCUCCCUAGAGUGGCAAGAAAUUGCUACUGCUAGCAAUUUCUAGCAUCAUUUUCUGCUUAUAAGAAGCAUUGGAAUAUAUUAAAGAAUCAACCAGAAAGCACAAACUUUUGGUAUGUAGUGUAGGAUUGCAGCAUUUUGGAAAGAUAGUACAGCAGCUGUCUUCAGUCCUCAACUUCCACCCUUGCUCUCACUGCAGCAGAGAAAUGCACUAAUGCAAAUGCAGAUUCUUAUGUGCCUUGAAUAAGGAAGUAUUUGUUGCUACUUCAAAUGUUCACAAUGUCAUGCAACUGCUAAGAAUUACUUAAAAAAUCCUGCAUACCUAUAUAUCAGUUUAUUAGAAUAAUCAUGAGUAUCUUCAUGCAUUCAUGAGUAUGUUUAUGAAUCCAUCAAAUUACUGUUAUCAGACAUAUGGGAGUUAAUGGUGACUAUUCAGAAUUCCAGUUUCUUUCCGUAUUGGAGAAUUUAGGUGUUCAUUCCAUCGUGUUUGUGAGAAGACCACUGUUUGUUCUCAUUUUUGUAUUUUUUCUAUAUAUUGUUGGUGGGAUUGCAUUUUUUUCCUUAUUUUCUUUUCUUUUCUGGGAAUUGAUAUUCAUUCAAGACAUUAGAAUAAGCUCACAGUCUUCCAUGACUAGGUUUGUGUGUUGUACAAAACAUUAGAUUUAAUUCCUUUUCUUUUAACUUACACUGCCUUCUGUUACAUUUUUUAUUCUUUACUUCAUGACCUCACAGGAUAAAACCUUGGAAAAAAUGGUUCAUCUUUGUCUUUUUUUUCUCUCUCUCUCUCUGUCUCUCUUUUGAUAUGUUAAUUGAUCAGAUGCAGUUGUCUCAUGUCCUGGUCUCAACAAAUGACAGAGCAGCUAAGGUAUCAUCCUGUGAAUUAUGGAUCAGUUGUUAUUUUGUUUCUGUAACAAGACCAUUUGUAUGAGUUUAGAACUUUCAGGAUGUGUUCAGUGCGUACUAUUCAUAUACAAGGGUUUUGGGUGCUAGUAUUUCAUCUUCUUGCUGUUAUUACCAUGUAAUGAUUGUUUUAUUGAUUUCUCAAAUCUAUUUUCACAGUGUAAGAGAUAUUUUAUUUUCCUCUUUUGUAAUCCUCUUUACAAGGGGAUGACAGAAAUUUCUGUUUGUGGUUUUACAAAGGAUUAUAAACUGCACAUAUUUAUAUAUAUAUGGGCAACCUUUUUUUGUCAUAAGAUUCACUACCUACAGUUUAACCAUUUGAGUGCACUAAGCAUACAUAGUAUAAACAAGGAUAGAACACCAGAUGACAUUGAAAUGUACGACAUGUAAUAUUGUAUUAAGUUAUAAUAAUUUUCAUCCACUUACAAAGGAGAAUCAUACCAGAAACGAGUGCACUCAGAGGGUUACGCUUAGAGCCGAAUAAGUGAACAUUAGUGUCACACUUGAUUAUUUAUUAUGUUGCAACCACAUCAGUCAUGCGUAGACUGUGGUGACAAAAGCAUGCAUGCACCACCUUCUUCCUGCAAACCAUUAGAGAUUGUCUAAUAAAGUCUUUAUUUAAUUUU